UACCCUAUGCGUACACAAAAGAAAAAAAGAAGAAGAAGCAGCAGAUGUUCGUGUGUGAUUUUUUCACUUUGGAAUGGCGCGAAGUUUUGUAGGCCAUAAAUGGAACCAAAUUGCACAUGAAGAUUAUUUAAAGACUAGCAUAUGAAGCAAGUCAACUACUAACUUUGUUGAUAUUGCGAUGCUGCCUAUUGCCAUCAGACUUCCAAAGCAUGUGUUCCGGAAUUCUGCUGGUAAUCUUAUUGAUGGCAAUGCCAGGACAAUACAGCGUCUUCCACUUCUCAAGCGGAGGCGCAUGCUGUCUGUAUGGCCUGUCUAAUGGUUCAUGCACAUCAUGCUAUGCCUGUGGAGAUUGAGAGUGAUAAUCGUCAAAUUAUUCAGCUGAGUGUAGCAGAAACAGUCCCUCCGUGGGAGUUGAGUGCUCUCAUUUUGGAUAUUCGUUGGUUAGCUUCUCAACAUCAGAUGGCCUUCUCCUGGACUGGUUGUAUGAACAAGAAGGUGGCACACUGGGUCGCGACGGCUAACUCACCCCCUGUUUCGUGGGUUGGUGUACCUCCUGUUCCUCUAAGGGAAUUAUUAUCAUCGGAUGUAACUUCUUCUGCAGUUUGAAUGAAGAUGCUAGUGUUCAAAAAAGAAAAAAAAAAGAUAUAGCAAUUAACAAGCUCUAUGAUCUAGUAUGUAUUUCCAGAUAUUGAUUCACAAUUACGGUCAUGUUUUUGUUGAACUUUCAUGUUUUUUUGCCUAGUAUUGUAUCCUUUUUAUCCAAAUUGUUUUUUGAAAUUUUGUGUAGAAGUUUCUUUCAAUUCAAAAGGACUGUGUACAUUUUCAAUUCAAAAAAGUACCCAACAGAUCAAAUCUAUUCAUGGGGUUAGGAAAUGAGAUUUUGUAAGUACAAUUUCUUUUUAUAAUUAAGGUUGGUUGGCGUUUUGCUUGAUUGAUGUGAAUUUAUGAUGGGAUUGCCUUAUAUCUCUAGAAGAAGGCCAUUACACAGUGUUACUUCUGCCAAUGCGUGGUUCUAGGCUGUAGCAAGAAACUUCUAUGGAGGCCCCCAUUCCCAACCUUAAACUCUUCUAUAGGGCCCUCAAUCCCCCAUCGAUCCCUAGUCCUGCUACCAGCUCUUCAGGAUUUCUUAAGACUGUGACUCAUGAUCGAGAGAGAGAGAGAGAGAGAUUGUUUUACGAAAUUUAACUUGGAUGAAUCUACCAAAGAAAUGGUUCAUAAUCUAUAAAAAUUUUGAAAGAGCAUUGAUAUAUCUCACAGAAAUAUAUGAUUCAUCGAAGUGAUAUUGUGGUGGCUCUAUUCAUAAUCUUUUUUGUUUACAUUUUCUUUAAAUUUAAGGAAGUCACUUAAAAGGUAGCCAAAGAUAGCUCAAUGGACGAGACUCUCACCGCUACGCAGCCUUAUCUCCUCUUAUGAAGAGACUGUUUUCGUAUUUUGAACUCAUGGUACCCAAGUCACAAUAGAACAACCUUACCACAAACGAUGGCGAACACUUUUUCCACUAUAGCCUUGUAGGUAAACAACAUGGAUGGAGAUAUAUGAGGAAGAGAAUCAAAAAGUAGGCAAAAAAACUAACAUUAGUUUAUUGUAUUUGCCUUUUCUUUUAUUGGCCACACCCUGGGAUUUUAUACAUAUCAUUUAUAAGACAAGACAACUAUGGUUGCCUCUGCUAGCAAAGCUUAUUUUACUAAAAUAC